rnacentral:rRNA from 1 species
CCUACGGGAGGCAGCAGUGAGGAAUAUUGGUCAAUGGACGAGAGUCUGAACCAGCCAAGUAGCGUGAAGGAUGACUGCCCUAUGGGUUGUAAACUUCUUUUAUAAAGGAAUAAAACGACGCACGUGUGCCUUUUUGCAUGUACUUUAUGAAUAAGGAUCGGCUAACUCCGUGCCAGCAGCCGCGGUAAUACGGAGGAUCCGAGCGUUAUCCGGAUUUAAUGGGUUUAAAGGGAGCGUAGAUGGGUUGUUAAGUCAUGUGUGAAAGUUUGCGGCUCAACCGUAAAAUUGCAGUUGAUACUGGCAGUCUUGAGUGCAGUAGAGGUAAGCGGAAUUCGUGGUGUAGCGGUGAAAUGCAUAGAUAUCACGAAGAACUCCGAUUGCGAAGGCAGCUUACUAGCCUGUGACUGACAUUGAGGCUCGAAAGUGUGGGUAUCAAACAGGAUUAGAUACCCUUGUAGUC